rnacentral:rRNA from 1 species
UCAUGGCUCAGAUUGAACGCUGGCGGAAUGCUUACACAUGGCAAAGGUCGAACGGUAGAGGGGGCAACCCUUGAGAGUGGCGAACGGGUGAGUAAUAUAUCGGAACGUGCCCAGUCGUGGGGGAUAACGUAGCGAAAGUUACGCUAAUACCGCAUACGAUCUAAGGAUGAAAGCGGGGGACUCGCAAGAGCCUCGCGCGAUUGGAGCGGCCGAUAUCAGAUUAGGGUAGUUGGUGGGGUAAAGGCUCACCAAGCCAACGAUCUGUAGCUGGUCUGAGAGGACGACCAGCCACACUGGAACUGAGACACGGUCCAGACUCCUACGGGAGGCAGCAGUGGGGAAUUUUGGACAAUGGACGCAAGUCUGAUCCAGCCAUUCCGCGUGCAGGAUGAAGGCCCUCGGGUUGUAAACUGCUUUGUACGGAACGAAAAGGUUUCUAUUAAUACUAGGAGCUCAUGACGGUACCGUAAGAAUAAGCACCGGCUAACUACGUG